AGCAGUGUAUGUACUCAAAUAUAGUCUAAACAUGGUUUAAUAAUACUAAAUAGCGGAAAAUAUAGAUAAAAAAUACGGAAAUCCAGCCCGACACAGCCCUAACCGGGGUGUCACAAGUCAUGAGCAUCUAUGAGUCAUAAUACAAGUUUGCUAAAUCUAAUAACUAGUACCAUGUCCGUAAGGAAUAUAAAAGACGAGACAAUAGAGACACGGGGCUACGGACGUUAACAGCUACCUCGUAAUCCCUGAAAGCCGCCUGAAACUGGAGGAAUCAGCACUCAGGAGCGGAACCAGCAAUGCAUGAAUCUGCACACAUGGUGCAGGAAGUAAUGUGAGUACUCCGACCCAGUGAGUAAUAAGUAUAAAUAAUGACUGAAGAUAAGAAAUCACGUGAAAACACAAGGCAUUCUAUAUUGAAGCAGAAAAAUCACUUUAAACAGUAAAGCAGUGAGAAAUCAAGUGAAAAUCCCCCUUUUUUCUCCAACAAGUAAAACAAGUAGUUUACAAGUGACUAACAAAAUGGAAAUUCGCCCCUCGGGCAACAUCUCAGAACAGUACUAGCCUCUCGGGCUCAAUAUCAGAACAGUGUCAGCACCUCGAGCUCAAUAUCAGAAUAGUAACAGCCCCUCGAGCUCAAUAUCAGAACAGUAACAGCCCCUCAGGCUCAAUAUCAGAUCAUAAUGGGUACCCGCACUUACUGGGGCUGUACAAACUCGGAGAGGGGCCCCUUACGGCCCAAGCGCAAUAUCAAGCCAUCUCGUGGCAUCAAAUCUAGGCCAUCGGCCUCAUAUCAAUCAAGCCACCUCGUGGCGUAUAUAAGUAUCUCAGGCCCUCGACCUCAUAUCAGUACCAGUGUAUCCUUACAACUAGUACCUCGGCUUUAGACAGUCCAAAAUCAUCACAAGCCCCUCGGGCAAUAGUAAAACAAUAUUUCUCAGCCCAAAACAUCAUUUAGAAUAUCAUUUAAAUCUCAAAACUGAGUAAAAUGGCUGAGUAGUAAAACAGUGGAAAAUAACAUAACUGAGUUCAAGUAAUAAGUCAAAACAGUGAGGAAAUGGUAGUAAAAAUCCCCAAAGGAUUCAAAUAGUUGGUACGAAGCCCCAAUAUGGCAAUUAGCCCAAAGCAUAAUGAAAACAAAUAAGUCCCAAUCAAAUACGCGGAAAAAUCAUCAAUGCGGGAUGGACCAAGUCACAAUCCCCAAUAGUAUACAACCACACGCUCGUCAUCAAAUGUGUGUCUCACAUUAAUAUAGCACUACGAUGUGCAAUCCGGAGUUUCAAACCCUCAGAGAAUCAUUUACAAUCAUUACUCACCUCGAAUUAGCCCGAAAAGCUACUCUGCAACACGCUUGCCUCUCGACCCAACUUCCGAGUGCUCCAAAUCUACCAAGUUCAUAUUUUUAUCAUCAAAUUAUGCUAAAUGAAUGAAUUCCAAUUGAAAAAUAUCGAUUUUAAACACAAAACCCGAAAUCAGUCAAAACUCGACCCCGGGAUCGCAUCCCGGAACUGGACAAACUUUAUACCAAAAUGUUCUUCAUCAUCUCAUGAGUCCGUACAUAUAAAGAACUCAAAAAUCGGAGUUCGUUUGACCCCUCAAAUCAUCCCUAGAAGUCUCAUAAUCUCAAGCCCUAACUCCACCUUUUUCUACUGAUUUUCAUGUCUAAAUCCAUCUAAGAUCACAUAUUUAACUCAAAAAUAGGAAGAAAUCGCUUACCUAGUGUUGCUUGGUGAAAAUCCCUCCUUGCGCUCUCCAAAAUCGUCCAAACCAAAUGAAAGGAAUGAAAGAAAUGGGUUAAAACUCGUGUUUAAAACAAUCUGUCCAGGCUUCAUCGAGUUGUACCUUGCGUUGUGCAGGUUGUACAUCCUCUUACCAUUUUUCCCUGUUGUACACCUUCUGUUAAAACGCC
rnacentral:lncRNA from 1 species